rnacentral:rRNA from 1 species
AGAGCGCACGGAGGAUGCCUUGGCACUAGGAGCCGAAGAAGGACGUGACAAACGACGAAACGCUACGGGGAGCUGUAAGUAAGCAAAGAUCCGUAGAUAUCCGAAUGGGGGAACCCACCGCUUUUAAAAGGGCGGUACGCGAAAGCGAGGUAACGCAGGGAACUGAAACAUCUAAGUACCUGUAGGAAGAGAAAGAAAAAUCGAUUUCCUAAGUAGCGGCGAGCGAAAGGGAAAGAGCCCAAACCAAUAUGCUUGCAUAUUGGGGUUGUAGGACUCUCAACAAAGCGUAUGACAAAGUAUAGUAGAACGAGCUGGAAAGUUAGACCGUAGAAGGUAAAAGUCCUGUAUACGAAAUGCUGAGUUGGCGUGAGAGAGCACCUGAGUACGGCGGAACACGAGGAAUUCCGUCGGAAUCUACCAGGACCAUCUGGUAAGGCUAAAUACUACCUAGUGACCGAUAGUGAACCAGUACCGUGAGGGAAAGGUGAAAAGAACCCCGGGAGGGGAGUGAAAGAGAACCUGAAACCGUGUGCUUACAAGUAGUCAGAGCCCUUUAGGGGGUGAUGGCGUGCCUUUUGUAGAAUGAACCGGCGAGUUACUUUAUCAUGCGAGGUUAAGUGGAAGACAUGGAGCCGAAGCGAAAGCGAGUCUUAAUAGGGCGAGAUAGUAUGAUGGAGUAGACCCGAAACCAAGUGAUCUACCCAUGGCCAGGUUGAAGUUUAGGUAACACUGAAUGGAGGACCGAACCAGGACACGUUGAAAAGUGUUUGGAUGAGCUGUGGGUAGCGGAGAAAUUCCAAUCGAACUUGGAAAUAGCUGGUUCUCUCCGAAAUAGCUUUAGGGCUAGCCUCGUUGUGAGUUUACUGGAGGUAGAGCACUGUUUGGACUAGGGGCCCAUCCCGGGUUACCGAAUUCAGACAAACUCCGAAUGCCAGAUAAAUAUCAACGGGAGUCAGACUGCGGGUGAUAAGGUUCGUAGUCGAAAGGGAAACAGCCCAGACCGCCAGCUAAGGUCCCAAAUUGUAUGUUAAGUGGAAAAGGAUGUGAUGAUGCACAGACAACCAGGAUGUUGGCUUAGAAGCAGCCACCAUUUAAAGAGUGCGUAAUAGCUCACUGGUCGAGUGACAUCGCGCCGAAAAUGUACCGGGGCUAAACAUACAACCGAAGCUGCGGAUAUAACUAAUGUUAUAUGGUAGGAGAGCGUUCUAACAUCAUAGAAGCCGAACUGGAAGGUGAGGUGGAGAGGUUAGAAGUGAGAAUGCCGGUGUGAGUAGCGAAAGAUAGGUGAGAAUCCUAUCCACCGAAAGACUAAGGUUUCCAGAGGAAGGCUCGUCCGCUCUGGGUAAGUCGGGACCUAAGGUGAAGCCGAUAGGUGAAGCCGAUGGACAACAGGUAGAAAUUCCUGUACCACCGAAUAUCGAUUGAGAGAAGUGGGGACAGAGGAGGCUAAUUGAUCGCCCUGAUGGAAUAGGGCGUCUAAGCACAAAGACUGACAAGUAGGCAAAUCCGCUUGUUGUAAAGGUUGAAGUGUGAUGGGGAGCGAAAUAUAGUAGCGAAGUCAAUGAAGCCAAACUCUCAAGAAAAGCCGCUAUCGAGAUAAGAGGUGCCCGUACCGCAAACCGACACAGGUAGUUGGGAAGAGAAUUCUAAGGUGAGCGAGAGAACCAUCGUUAAGGAACUCGGCAAAAUGACCCCGUAACUUCGGGAGAAGGGGUGCCUACGAGAGUAGGCCGCAGUGAAUAGGCCCAAGCGACUGUUUAUCAAAAACACAGGUCUCUGCAAAACCGAAAGGUGAAGUAUAGGGGCUGACGCCUGCCCGGUGCUGGAAGGUUAAGAGGAGUGCUUAGCGCAAGCGAAGGUAUGAAUUGAAGCCCCAGUAAACGGCGGCCGUAACUAUAACGGUCCUAAGGUAGCGAAAUUCCUUGUCGGGUAAGUUCCGACCCGCACGAAAGGCGUAAUGAUUUGGGCACUGUCUCAACGAGAGACUCGGUGAAAUUUUAGUACCUGUGAAGAUGCAGGUUACCCGCGACAGGACGGAAAGACCCCAUGGAGCUUUACUGUAGCUUGAUAUUGAAUUUUGAUGCAGUAUGUACAGGAUAGGUAGGAGCCUAAGAAUCAUGCACGCCAGUGUAUGAGGAGGCGUUGUUGGGAUACUACCCUUGCUGUAUUGAAAUUCUAACCCUCGGCAUAGAAGACCGGGAGACAGUGUCAGGUGGGCAGUUUGACUGGGGCGGUCGCCUCCUAAAGAGUAACGGAGGCGUUCAAAGGUUCCCUCA